rnacentral:rRNA from 1 species
AUUGAACGCUGGCGGCAUGCCUUACACAUGCAAGUCGAACGGUAGAGGGGGCAACCCCUUGAGAGUGGCGAACGGGUGAGUAAUGCAUCGGAACGUGCCCAGUUGUGGGGGAUAACACUUCGAAAGAAGUGCUAAUACCGCAUACGACCUGAGGGUGAAAGGGGGGGAUUCGCAAGAACCUCCUGCAAUUGGAGCGGCCGAUGUCAGAUUAGGUAGUUGGUGGGGUAAAAGCCUACCAAGCCGACGAUCUGUAGCUGGUCUGAGAGGACGACCAGCCACACUGGGACUGAGACACGGCCCAGACUCCUACGGGAGGCAGCAGUGGGGAAUUUUGGACAAUGGACGCAAGUCUGAUCCAGCCAUGCCGCGUGCAGGAAGAAGGCCUUCGGGUUGUAAACUGCUUUUGUCAGGGAAGAAAUCCUCUGGGCUAAUAUCCUGGGGGGAUGACGGUACCUGAAGAAUAAGCACCGGCUAACUACGUGCCAGCCGCCGCCGUAA